AAACAUCUUAGUAACCAGAGGAAUAGAAAGUAAAAACGAUUCUCUUAGUAGCGGCGAGCGAAAUGGGAACAGCCUAAACUUUUCAAAAUAAUAAAUAAAUAAUGAAAAGGGUAGUGGGACUAAACAGUAAAUAAAGAUAAAAAACAGCUAGGAGAAUAAACUGGAAAGUUUAACCGAAGAAAGUGAUAGUCUUGUAACCGAAAG
rnacentral:rRNA from 12 species